CACAAAUCACAUCACCCCCUAUAUAAACGACGGUUACCUCCUGUCCUCCGCUGUGCCGCAAUCCUACCCUUCCGCCGCCCCGCAGCCACACGAAUCGUCAGGCGUCCAACUAAAAUUUAAUGAACAAGAGUUAGGCAAGGAGGGUUAUAUCAGAAGUUGCCCUCCACACCACCUUCCGUCGAUCAUCUGGCAGUCACCAAAAAAAAGAAGAAAAUGUUUAGCCCUUCACACCACCUUCCAUCGUCGCCACUUGAGAAGAGCUCCUGCUUCUCAUGUCUGUGCUGUUGGCAACAGAAGUAUAAAAGAAAUGGAAGAAAGAUUGCUAGUGCUGAAGUCAAAAGAGAAACGUGUUACAUGUAUGGACAAACUGAUUGCAGCAUCAGGAGAGUAACCGAUAUAUAUGAAGAAGACGCAAACAACAAACUAGCAUCUCCAAUAACUAUCUCAGCUAACACACUCUGCAACUAAAGGCAAUAUCGCCUGUCUCCAUAUCCGAAGGAACACAACAACAAUAGAAGCAUGCAAGAAGAGAGGAAGAAACCUUACGGCUUGUUUCUAUUUUCCUUACCCCACUCUCUCUUUUCCCACCCCAUAUUAUAUUAAUUGGACAUAUGAUUGUGUUUGUAUUUCAAUGUUUUAGGUUCCGUUUUAGGGGGUGUUUGGUUGCUCCUGCUAAAGUUUAGCCCGGGUCACAUCAAGCGUUUGACUUUUAAAUAGGAGUAUGAAAUAUAGACCUAACCAACUGGACUAGAUUCAUCUCGUCUUUUAAUCUUCAGCUGACAAAUUAGUUUUAUAAUCCGACUACAUUUAAUACCCGGAACGGAGGU
rnacentral:misc_RNA from 1 species